AUUCCUAUUUUUCAUCCAAGAAACUGAACAAAAUCUUAGAUGACAUCUUCAUUCGAACUCGAUGACAAACUUGAAUCUAAAUAUUACCAGAAUGCAUCACAUUCGUAGCCAAACUUUAAAGAGAAGAAAACUAAGAACAUGAUAUCCAGGAUAUUAGUUGACGCUUUUAAAGUAUUUUGUACUGACUUCCGAUUUACUUUAUAUUCAUUACGUCAUAGUCUUAAUCGGGAACCGUUUAACACAUAAAUUGAAUAUUGGAAGUCCUGUACACUAUGUGUGAGUAGAUAUGAUCUUAUAAAAUGUAAAAUAGACUGUGAGUAGUGGAUUUAGUCUGGGGAGUGCUUUAUUGUCCGAAGAAAGGAUCAAUUUUAAACUUAUCACUUACAACAUUUAAAUACAGAAAUAAUGGUUAACAAAAAGUCUUCUCAUUAGAAGACCAGAAAUUUGGAAACUUAACAAAAUAUUAGAUGACAUCUUCAUUCGAACUCGAUGACAAACUUGAUUCUAAAUAUUACCAGAAUGCAUCACAUUCGCAGCCAAACUUUAAAGAGAAGAAAACUAAGAACAUGAUAUCCAGGAUAUUAGUUGACGCUUUUAAAGUAUUUUGUACUGACUUCCGAUUUACUUUAUAUUCAUUACGUCAAAGUCUUAAUCGGGAACCGUUUAACACAUAAAUUGAAUAUUGGAAGUCCUGUACACUAUGUGUGAGUAGAUAUGAUCUUAUAAAAUGUAAAAUGGACUGUGAGUAUUGGAUUUAGUCUGAGGAGUGCCAUAUUAUCCGAAGAAAGGAUCAAUUUUAAACCUAUCACUUACAACAUUUAAAUACAGAAAUAAUGGUUAACAAAAAGUCUUCUCAUUAGAAGACUAGAAAUUUGGAAACUGAACAAAAUCUUAGAUGACAUCUUCAUUCGAACUCGAUGACAAACUUGAAUCUAAAUAUUACCAGAAUGCAUCACAUUCGUAGCCAAACUUUAAAGAGAAGAAAACUAAGAACAUGAUAUCCAGGAUAUUAGUUGACGCUUUUAAAGUAUUUUGUACUGACUUCCGAUUUACUUUAUAUUCAUUACGUCAAAGCCUUAACCGGAAACCGUUUAACACAUAAAUUGAAUAUUGAAAGUCCUGUACAUUAUGUGUGAGUAAAUAUGAUCUUAUAAAAUGUAAAAUGGACUGUGAGUAUUGGAUUUAGUCUGAGGAGUACCAUAUUAUCCGAAGAAAGGAUCAAUUUUAAACUUAUCACUUACAACAUUUAAAUACAGAAAUAAUGGUUAACAAAAAGUCUUCUCAUUAGAAGACCAGAAAUUUGGAAACUUAACAAAAUAUUAGAUGACAUCUUCAUUCGAACUCGAUGACAAACUUGAAUCUAAAUAUUACCAGAAUGCAUCACAUUCGUAGCCAAACUUUAAAGAGAAGAAAACUAAGAACAUGAUAUCCAGGAUAUUAGUUGACGCUUUUAAAGUAUUUUGUACUGACUUCCGAUUUACUUUAUAUUCAUUACGUCAAAGUCUUAACCGGAAACCGUUUAACACAUAAAUUGAAUAUUGAAAGUCCUGUACACUAUGUGUGAGUAAAUAUGAUCUUAUAAAAUGUAAAAUGGACUGUGAGUAUUGGAUUUAGUCUGAGGAGUACCAUAUUAUCCGAAGAAAGGAUCAAUUUUAAACUUAUCACUUACAACAUUUAAAUACAGAAAUAAUGGUUAACAAAAAGUCUUCUCAUUAGAAGACCAGAAAUUUGGAAACUUAACAAAAUAUUAGAUGACAUCUUCAUUCGAACUCGAUGACAAACUUGAAUCUAAAUAUUACCAGAAUGCAUCACAUUCGUAGCCAAACUUUAAAGAGAAGAAAACUAAGAACAUGAUAUCCAGGAUAUUAGUUGACGCUUUUAAAGUAUUUUGUACUGACUUCCGAUUUACUUUAUAUUCAUUACGUCAUAGUCUUAAUCGGGAACCGUUUAACACAUAAAUUGAAUAUUGGAAGUCCUGUACACUAUGUGUGAGUAAAUAUGAUCUUAUAAAAUGUAAAAUGGACUGUGAGUAUUGGAUUUAGUCUGAGGAGUGCCAUAUUAUCCGAAGAAAGGAUCAAUUUUAAACUUAUCACUUACAACAUUUAAAUACAGAAAUAAUGGUUAACAAAAAGUCUUCUCAUUAGAAGACUAGAAAUUUGGAAACUGAACAAAAUCUUAGAUGACAUCUUCAUUCGAACUCGAUGACAAACUUGAAUCUAAAUAUUACCAGAAUGCAUCACAUUCGUAGCCAAACUUUAAAGAGAAGAAAACUAAGAACAUGAUAUCCAGGAUAUUAGUUGACGCUUUUAAAGUAUUUUGUACUGACUUCCGAUUUACUUUAUAUUCAUUACGUCAAAGCCUUAACCGGAAACCGUUUAACACAUAAAUUGAAUAUUGAAAGUCCUGUACAUUAUGUGUGAGUAAAUAUGAUCUUAUAAAAUGUAAAAUGGACUGUGAGUAUUGGAUUUAGUCUGAGGAGUGCCAUAUUAUCCGAAGAAAGGAUCAAUUUUAAACCUAUCACUUACAACAUUUAAAUACAGAAAUAAUGGUUAUCAAAAAGUCUUCUCAUUAGAAGACCAGAAAUUUGGAAACUGAACAAAAUCUUAGAUGACAUCUUCAUUCGAACUCGAUGACAAACUUGAAUCUAAAUAUUACCAGAAUGCAUCACAUUCGUAGCCAAACUUUAAAGAGAAGAAAACUAAGAACAUGAUAUCCAGGAUAUUAGUUGACGCUUUUAAAGUAUUUUGUACUGACUUCCGAUUUACUUUAUAUUCAUUACGUCAUAGUCUUAAUCGGGAACCGUUUAACACAUAAAUUGAAUAUUGGAAGUCCUGUACACUAUGUGUGAGUAGAUAUGAUCUUAUAAAAUGUAAAAUGGACUGUGAGUAUUGGAUUUAGUCUGAGGAGUGCCAUAUUAUCCGAAGAAAGGAUCAAUUUUAAACCUAUCACUUACAACAUUUAAAUACAGAAAUAAUGGUUAACAAAAAGUCUUCUCAUUAGAAGACUAGAAAUUUGGAAACUGAACAAAAUCUUAGAUGACAUCUUCAUUCGAACUCGAUGACAAACUUGAAUCUAAAUAUUACCAGAAUGCAUCACAUUCGUAGCCAAACUUUAAAGAGAAGAAAACUAAGAACAUGAUAUCCAGGAUAUUAGUUGACGCUUUUAAAGUAUUUUGUACUGACUUCCGAUUUACUUUAUAUUCAUUACGUCAAAGUCUUAACCGGAAACCGUUUAACACAUAAAUUGAAUAUUGGAAGUCCUGUACACUAUGUGUGAGUAAAUAUGAUCUUAUAAAAUGUAAAAUGGACUGUGAGUAUUGGAUUUAGUCUGAGGAGUGCCAUAUUAUCCGAAGAAAGGAUCAAUUUUAAACUUAUCACUUACAACAUUUAAAUACAGAAAUAAUGGUUAACAAAAAGUCUUCUCAUUAGAAGACUAGAAAUUUGGAAACUGAACAAAAUCUUAGAUGACAUCUUCAUUCGAACUCGAUGACAAACUUGAAUCUAAAUAUUACCAGAAUGCAUCACAUUCGUAGCCAAACUUUAAAGAGAAGAAAACUAAGAACAUGAUAUCCAGGAUAUUAGUUGACGCUUUUAAAGUAUUUUGUACUGACUUCCGAUUUACUUUAUAUUCAUUACGUCAUAGUCUUAAUCGGGAACCGUUUAACACAUAAAUUGAAUAUUGGAAGUCCUGUACACUAUGUGUGAGUAGAUAUGAUCUUAUAAAAUGUAAAAUAGACUGUGAGUAGUGGAUUUAGUCUGGGGAGUGCUUUAUUGUCCGAAGAAAGGAUCAAUUUUAAACUUAUCACUUACAACAUUUAAAUACAGAAAUAAUGGUUAACAAAAAGUCUUCUCAUUAGAAGACCAGAAAUUUGGAAACUUAACAAAAUAUUAGAUGACAUCUUCAUUCGAACUCGAUGACAAACUUGAUUCUAAAUAUUACCAGAAUGCAUCACAUUCGCAGCCAAACUUUAAAGAGAAGAAAACUAAGAACAUGAUAUCCAGGAUAUUAGUUGACGCUUUUAAAGUAUUUUGUACUGACUUCCGAUUUACUUUAUAUUCAUUACGUCAAAGUCUUAAUCGGGAACCGUUUAACACAUAAAUUGAAUAUUGGAAGUCCUGUACACUAUGUGUGAGUAGAUAUGAUCUUAUAAAAUGUAAAAUGGACUGUGAGUAUUGGAUUUAGUCUGAGGAGUGCCAUAUUAUCCGAAGAAAGGAUCAAUUUUAAACCUAUCACUUACAACAUUUAAAUACAGAAAUAAUGGUUAACAAAAAGUCUUCUCAUUAGAAGACUAGAAAUUUGGAAACUGAACAAAAUCUUAGAUGACAUCUUCAUUCGAACUCGAUGACAAACUUGAAUCUAAAUAUUACCAGAAUGCAUCACAUUCGUAGCCAAACUUUAAAGAGAAGAAAACUAAGAACAUGAUAUCCAGGAUAUUAGUUGACGCUUUUAAAGUAUUUUGUACUGACUUCCGAUUUACUUUAUAUUCAUUACGUCAAAGCCUUAACCGGAAACCGUUUAACACAUAAAUUGAAUAUUGAAAGUCCUGUACAUUAUGUGUGAGUAAAUAUGAUCUUAUAAAAUGUAAAAUGGACUGUGAGUAUUGGAUUUAGUCUGAGGAGUACCAUAUUAUCCGAAGAAAGGAUCAAUUUUAAACUUAUCACUUACAACAUUUAAAUACAGAAAUAAUGGUUAACAAAAAGUCUUCUCAUUAGAAGACCAGAAAUUUGGAAACUUAACAAAAUAUUAGAUGACAUCUUCAUUCGAACUCGAUGACAAACUUGAAUCUAAAUAUUACCAGAAUGCAUCACAUUCGUAGCCAAACUUUAAAGAGAAGAAAACUAAGAACAUGAUAUCCAGGAUAUUAGUUGACGCUUUUAAAGUAUUUUGUACUGACUUCCGAUUUACUUUAUAUUCAUUACGUCAAAGUCUUAACCGGAAACCGUUUAACACAUAAAUUGAAUAUUGAAAGUCCUGUACACUAUGUGUGAGUAAAUAUGAUCUUAUAAAAUGUAAAAUGGACUGUGAGUAUUGGAUUUAGUCUGAGGAGUACCAUAUUAUCCGAAGAAAGGAUCAAUUUUAAACUUAUCACUUACAACAUUUAAAUACAGAAAUAAUGGUUAACAAAAAGUCUUCUCAUUAGAAGACCAGAAAUUUGGAAACUUAACAAAAUAUUAGAUGACAUCUUCAUUCGAACUCGAUGACAAACUUGAAUCUAAAUAUUACCAGAAUGCAUCACAUUCGUAGCCAAACUUUAAAGAGAAGAAAACUAAGAACAUGAUAUCCAGGAUAUUAGUUGACGCUUUUAAAGUAUUUUGUACUGACUUCCGAUUUACUUUAUAUUCAUUACGUCAUAGUCUUAAUCGGGAACCGUUUAACACAUAAAUUGAAUAUUGGAAGUCCUGUACACUAUGUGUGAGUAAAUAUGAUCUUAUAAAAUGUAAAAUGGACUGUGAGUAUUGGAUUUAGUCUGAGGAGUGCCAUAUUAUCCGAAGAAAGGAUCAAUUUUAAACUUAUCACUUACAACAUUUAAAUACAGAAAUAAUGGUUAACAAAAAGUCUUCUCAUUAGAAGACUAGAAAUUUGGAAACUGAACAAAAUCUUAGAUGACAUCUUCAUUCGAACUCGAUGACAAACUUGAAUCUAAAUAUUACCAGAAUGCAUCACAUUCGUAGCCAAACUUUAAAGAGAAGAAAACUAAGAACAUGAUAUCCAGGAUAUUAGUUGACGCUUUUAAAGUAUUUUGUACUGACUUCCGAUUUACUUUAUAUUCAUUACGUCAAAGCCUUAACCGGAAACCGUUUAACACAUAAAUUGAAUAUUGAAAGUCCUGUACAUUAUGUGUGAGUAAAUAUGAUCUUAUAAAAUGUAAAAUGGACUGUGAGUAUUGGAUUUAGUCUGAGGAGUGCCAUAUUAUCCGAAGAAAGGAUCAAUUUUAAACCUAUCACUUACAACAUUUAAAUACAGAAAUAAUGGUUAUCAAAAAGUCUUCUCAUUAGAAGACCAGAAAUUUGGAAACUUAACAAACACUUAGAUGACAACUUCAUUCGAACUCGAUGACAAACUUGAAUCUAAACAUUACCAGAAUACAUCACAUUCGUAGCCAAACUUUAAAGAGAAGAAAGCUUAAAACAUGAUAUCCAGGAUAUAGUUGACGCUUUUAAAGUAUUUUGUACUGACUUUCGAUUUACUUUAUAUUCAUUACGUCACAGUCUUAACCGGGAACCGUUUAACACAUAAAUUGAAUAUUGGAAGUCCUGUACACUAUAUGUGAGUAAAUAUGAUCUUAUAAAAUGUAAAAUGGACUGUGAGUAUUGGAUUUAGUCUGAGGAGUGCCAUAUUAUCCGAAGAAAGGAUCAAUUUUAAACUUAUCACUUACAACAUUUAAAUACAGAAGUAAUGGUUAACAGAAAUUCUUCUCAUUAGAAGACCAGAAAUUUCGAAACUUAACAAAAUCUUAGAUGACAACUUCAUUCGAACUCGAUGACAAACUUGAAUCUAAAUAUUACCAGAAUGCAUCACAUUCGUAGCCAAACUUUAAAGAGAAGAAAACUUAGAACAUGAUAUCCAGGAUAUUAGUUGACGCUUUUAAAGUAUUUUGUACUGACUUCCGAUUUACUUUAUAUUCAUUACGUCAAAGUCUUAACCGGGAACCGUUUAACAAUUAAAUUGAAUAUUGAAAGUCCUGUACAUUAUGUGUGAGUAGAUAUGAUCUUAUAAAAUGUGGAAUAGACUGUGAGUAGUGGAUUUAGUCUGGGAGUGCCAUAUUAUCCGAAGAAAGGAUCAAUUUUAAACCUAUCACUUACAACAUUUAAAUACAGAAGUAAUGGUUAACAGAAAUUCUUCUCAUUAGAAGACCAGAAAUUUGGAAACUUAACAAACACUUAGAUGACAACUUCAUUCGAACUCGAUGACAAACUUGAAUCUAAACAUUACCAGAAUACAUCACAUUCGUAGCCAAACUUUAAAGAGAAGAAAGCUUAAAACAUGAUAUCCAGGAUAUAGUUGACGCUUUUAAAGUAUUUUGUACUGACUUUCGAUUUACUUUAUAUUCAUUACGUCACAGUCUUAACCGGGAACCGUUUAACACAUAAAUUGAAUAUUGGAAGUCCUGUACACUAUAUGUGAGUAAAUAUGAUCUUAUAAAAUGUAAAAUGGACUGUGAGUAUUGGAUUUAGUCUGAGGAGUGCCAUAUUAUCCGAAGAAAGGAUUAAUUUUAAACCUAUCACUUACAACAUUUAAAUACAGAAGUAAUGGUUAACAGAAAUUCUUCUCAUUAGAAGACCAGAAAUUUGGAAACUUAACAAAAUCUUAGAUGACAACUUCAUUCGAACUCGAUGACAAACUUGAAUCUAAACAUUACCAGGAUACAUCACAUUCGUAGCCAAACUUUAAAGAGAAGAAAAUUUAGAACAUAAUAUCCAGGAUAUAGUUGACGCUUUUAAAGUAUUUUGUACUGACUUUCGAUUUACUUUAUAUUCAUUACGUCACAGUCUUAACCGGGAACCGUUUAACACAUAAAUUGAAUAUUGGAAGUCCUGUACACUAUAUGUGAGUAAAUAUGAUCUUAUAAAAUGUAAAAUGGACUGUGAGUAUUGGAUUUAGUCUGAGGAGUGCCAUAUUAUCCGAAGAAAGGAUUAAUUUUAAACCUAUCACUUACAACAUUUAAAUACAGAAAUAAUGGUUAACAGAAAUUCUUCUCAUUAGAAGACCAGAAAUUUGGAAACUUAACAAACACUUAGAUGACAACUUCAUUCGAACUCGAUGACAAACUUGAAUCUAAACAUUACCAGGAUACAUCACAUUCGUAGCCAAACUUUAAAGAGAAGAAAAUUUAAAACAUGAUAUCCAGGAUAUAGUUGACGCUUUUAAAGUAUUUUGUACUGAUUUCCGAUUUACUUUAUAUUCAUUACGUCAAAGUCUUAAUCGGGAACCGUUUAACAAUUGAAUUGAAUAUUGGAAGUCCUGUACACUAUGUGUGAGUAAAUAUGAUCUUAUAAAAUGUAAAAUGGACUGUGAGUAUUGGAUUUAGUCUGGGGAGUGCCAUAUUAUCCGAAGAAAGGAUUAAUUUUAAACCUAUCACUUACAACAUUUAAAUACACAAAUAAUGGUUAACAGAAAUUCUUCUCAUUAGAAGACCAGAAAUUUGGAAACUUAACAAAAUAUUAGAUGACAACUUCAUUCGAACUCGAUGACAAACUUGAAUCUAAACAUUACCAGGAUACAUCACAUUCGUAGCCAAACUUUAAAGAGAAGAAAAUUUAGAACAUAAUAUCCAGGAUAUAGUUGACGCUUUUAAAGUAUUUUGUACUGACUUCCGAUUUACUUUAUAUUCAUUACGUCAAAGUCUUAACCGGAAACCGUUUAACAAUUAAAUUGAAUAUUGAAAGUCCUGUACACUAUGUGUGAGUAAAUAUGAUCUUAUAAAAUGUAAAAUGGACUGUGAGUAUUGGAUUUAGUCUGAGGAGUGCCAUAUUAUCCGAAGAAAGGAUUAAUUUUAAACCUAUCACUUACAACAAUUAAAUACAGAAGUAAUGGUUAACAGAAAUUCUUCUCAUUAGAAGACCAGAAAUUUGGAAACUUAACAAAAUCUUAGAUGACAUCUUCAUUCGAACUCGAUGACAAACUUGAAUCUAAAUAUUACCAGAAUGCAUCACAUUCGUAGCCAAACUUUAAAGAGAAGAAAACUAAGAACAUGAUAUCCAGGAUAUUAGUUGACGCUUUUAAAGUAUUUUGUACUGACUUCCGAUUUACUUUAUAUUCAUUACGUCAAAGUCUUAACCGGAAACCGUUUAACACAUAAAUUGAAUAUUGAAAGUCCUGUACACUAUGUGUGAGUAAAUAUGAUCUUAUAAAAUGUAAAAUGGACUGUGAGUAUUGGAUUUAGUCUGAGGAGUGCCAUAUUAUCCGAAGAAAGGAUCAAUUUUAAACCUAUCACUUACAACAUUUAAAUACAGAAAUAAUGGUUAACAAAAAGUCUUCUCAUUAGAAGACCAGAAAUUUGGAAACUUAACAAAAUCUUAGAUGACAUCUUCAUUCGAACUCGAUGACAAACUUGAAUCUAAAUAUUACCAGAAUGCAUCACAUUCGUAGCCAAACUUUAAAGAGAAGAAAACUAAGAACAUGAUAUCCAGGAUAUUAGUUGACGCUUUUAAAGUAUUUUGUACUGACUUCCGAUUUACUUUAUAUUCAUUACGUCAAAGUCUUAAUCGGGAACCGUUUAACACAUAAAUUGAAUAUUGGAAGUCCUGUACAUUAUGUGUGAGUAAAUAUGAUCUUAUAAAAUGUAAAAUGGACUGUGAGUAUUGGAUUUAGUCUGAGGAGUGCCAUAUUAUCCGAAGAAAGGAUCAAUUUUAAACCUAUCACUUACAACAUUUAAAUACAGAAAUAAUGGUUAACAAAAAGUCUUCUCAUUAGAAGACCAGAAAUUUGGAAACUGAACAAAAUAUUAGAUGACAUCUUCAUUCGAACUCGAUGACAAACUUGAAUCUAAAUAUUACCAGAAUGCAUCACAUUCGUAGCCAAACUUUAAAGAGAAGAAAACUAAGAACAUGAUAUCCAGGAUAUUAGUUGACGCUUUUAAAGUAUUUUGUACUGACUUCCGAUUUACUUUAUAUUCAUUACGUCAUAGUCUUAAUCGGGAACCGUUUAACACAUAAAUUGAAUAUUGGAAGUCCUGUACACUAUGUGUGAGUAAAUAUGAUCUUAUAAAAUGUAAAAUGGACUGUGAGUAGUGGAUUUAGUCUGGGGAGUGCCAUAUUAUCCGAAGAAAGGAUCAAUUUUAAACCUAUCACUUACAACAUUUAAAUACAGAAAUAAUGGUUAUCAAAAAGUCUUCUCAUUAGAAGACCAGAAAUUUGGAAACUUAACAAAAUAUUAGAUGACAUCUUCAUUCGAACUCGAUGACAAACUUGAAUCUAAAUAUUACCAGAAUGCAUCACAUUCGUAGCCAAACUUUAAAGAGAAGAAAACUAAGAACAUGAUAUCCAGGAUAUUAGUUGACGCUUUUAAAGUAUUUUGUACUGACUUCCGAUUUACUUUAUAUUCAUUACGUCAUAGUCUUAAUCGGGAACCGUUUAACACAUAAAUUGAAUAUUGGAAGUCCUGUACACUAUGUGUGAGUAGAUAUGAUCUUAUAAAAUGUAAAAUAGACUGUGAGUAGUGGAUUUAGUCUGGGGAGUGCUUUAUUGUCCGAAGAAAGGAUCAAUUUUAAACCUAUCACUUACAACAUUUAAAUACAGAAAUAAUGGUUAUCAAAAAGUCUUCUCAUUAGAAGACCAGAAAUUUGGAAUUCAAAGAAUCUCUCUUUUGGUUUGGCUAUCAAUAAAAUCACUUGGAUGUAGUCCCUAAACCUAAGCGGAAUUCAAAGAAUCCCUCUUUUGAUGAAUGAAAUCACAGGGAUAAUUGUCAACAUUUUUAUAAUUUGAACUACGCGUAUAUAUAAUACAUAUAUUUU